rnacentral:misc_RNA from 1 species
AACCUAGCACACCUGCGGUGUGUACCUGCGGAAGGAUCAUUACCGAGUGUGGUCCCAUAUAAGGGGCGCCUCCCGUCCUUUGCAGGGCCUUUAGGGGCUUUUUGACUUUGCUUCGGCGGGCUUGCCCCGCCGGAACACCCUCAAGAAAAUCUUUAUGAACCGUUUGUCUGAGUUGCUUGCGAAUAAAAACAAAACUUUCAGCAAUGGAUCU